GCUGGAGUAGCUCAGAGGUAGAGCGGCACGUUGAAGGCGUGCGCGUCGGCGGCUCAAAACCGUCCUCCAGCGCCA
rnacentral:tRNA from 1 species